rnacentral:rRNA from 1 species
CCCGCUGAACUUAAGCAUAUCAAAAGCCGGGAGGAAA